GGCGCUAUGGUGUAGUGGCAGCACAUGGGAUUCUGAUAUUCGAUGUAUUCCCAUAACCCAGGUUCGAAACCUGGUAGUGCCU